GGCCUAUUAGCUCAGUUGGUUAGAUUGUCGUGCUAAUAACGCGAAGGUCGCAGGUUCGAGACCUGCAUAGGCCA
rnacentral:tRNA from 1 species